UAGGGAAUCUUCCACAAUGGACGAAAGUCUGAUAGAGCAACGCCGCGUGAGUGAAGAGGGGUUUCGGCUCGUAAAACUCUGUUGUUAAAGAAGAACAUAUCUGAGAGUAACUGUUCAGGUAUUGACGGUAUUUAACCAGAAAGCCACGGCUAACUACGUGCCAG
rnacentral:rRNA from 1 species